rnacentral:rRNA from 1 species
CCUACGGGAGGCAGCAGUGAGGAAUAUUGGUCAAUGGACGCAAGUCUGAACCAGCCAUGCCGCGUGCAGGAAGACGGCUCUAUGAGUUGUAAACUGCUUUUGUACGAGGGUAAACGCAGAUACGCGUAUCUGUCUGAAAGUAUCGUACGAAUAAGGAUCGGCUAACUCCGUGCCAGCAGCCGCGGUAAUACUGAGGAUUCAAGCGUUAUCCGGAUUUAUUGGGUUUAAAGGGUGCGUAGGCGGUCGGAUAAGUUAGUGGUGAAAUCCCGAGGCUCAACUUCGGAAUUGCCUCUGAUACUGGUAGGCUAGAGAGUAGUUGCGGUAGGCGGAAUGUAUGGUGUAGCGGUGAAAUGCUUAGAGAUCAUACAGAACACCGAUUGCGAAGGCAGCUUACCAGGCUACUUCUGACGUUGAGGCACGAAAGCGUGGGGAGCAAACAGGAUUAGAUACCCUGGUAGUC